CCUACGGGCGGCAGCAGUGAGGAAUAUUGGUCAAUGGGCGGGAGCCUGAACCAGCCAAGUCGCGUGAAGGAAGAAGGUACUUAGUAUUGUAAACUUCUUUUGUCGGGGAACAAAGGCGGAGACGCGUCUCCGGAUGAGUGUACCCGAAGAAAAAGCAUCGGCUAACUCCGUGCCAGCAGCCGCGGUAAUACGGUGGAUGCGAGCGUAAUCCGGAUUUAUUGGGUUUAAGGGGUGCGCAGGGGGGAGAUCAAGGCAGCGGUAAAAUGUCGGGGCUCAACCCCGGACGGCCGUUGAAAAUGGUUGUCUAGAGUGGGAGAGAAGUAGGCGGAAUUCGUGGUGUAGCGGUGAAAUGCAUAGAUAUCACGAAGAACUCCGAUUGCGAAGGCAGCAUACCGGCGCCCGACUGACGCUGAGGCACGAAAGCGUGGGGAUCGAACAGGAUUAGAUACCCGUGUAGUC
rnacentral:rRNA from 1 species